rnacentral:rRNA from 1 species
UACGUAGGUGGCAAGCGUUGUCCGGAUUUAUUGGGCGUAAAGAGCCCGCAGGCGGCCUGUCAAGUUUCAGGUGAAAUCUCCUGGCUCAACUGGGAGAGGUCCUGGAAAACUGGCAGGCUUGAGGCAGGGAGAGGGAUGUGGAAUUCCCGGUGUAGUGGUGAAAUGCGUAGAUAUCGGGAGGAACACCAGUGGCGAAGGCGGCAUCCUGGCCCUGUCCUGACGCUCAGGGGCGAAAGCGUGGGGAGCAAACCGG